rnacentral:lncRNA from 1 species
UAGAAAGACUUCUAUGUUUGAAAGCUUGUAAAAUUAUUUACUUAGAAUUUUUCAAAAGACUUUUAUCGCCUUAGUUUUACAUUCAAAUAGUUUAUUAAUAUGGGACCCCACAUUAUAGACAGUUUGGAAAAUAGCUAAAACGGGUGGGGAGCACCUGUGGUUUCACCCUUAACACAAUUCCAAUGUGCAAAUUGACAUGCUUUGUGACUAUUCCUCUCUUUUUAUAAGUCGUAAUCCUAGUGUAUAUGUCAUUUAGUAUACUGUGACAUAAUCUUCAUAAUCACAAAGUGUAAUGACUCUAUUGCAGUUACAUUAGCUUCACCUGGAAUCUCAAGCACUAGAGUUAUUUCUUCCUAAGCAGAGUCUGUGAAAUGACGGUCAGCGCGGGGCAUUUCACUCUUCUCCUUGCACUUCCCCUCACUCUGUGAGGGCAGACAUGGCCCCCGGGCCCCACUCGCAAAAUGCCCUUCAUCCCUCACCAAGUCCAUUCCACUGCCUUCAGUGAAAUCUUGCUGUAGAAAAAAUGAGAAGACAAGAAACACAUAAGUUUCUCAGUGUCUCAGUCCCUUUCUCAUUGCUCAAACAGCUUAGAAAAGUGGAACCACAAGCAGCGUACAGUUAUAGUUGUAGUACUCAUUAACGUGAUAUUUCAAUCAUUUUCUAAUUAUUAUUUGUGCUUGGUUGUUUUUAGGAAAGUUACUAUUCAAGUCCAAUCCAUCAUAAUGCAGAAUCCUCUGUCAGUCCCGCCGAAAGAUCAAGGUGUACCAGGACACAUCCAGGAGGGCUGUGCUGGAGACUCUGACAGCUGGGCCCACAAGGGUCUGAGACUACCUUGUUUUGAAAAUGAGUAAACUGAGGCACAGGGAAAGCUGAAGGGGGCUGAAGCAAGACCAGGCCCUGCCAGAUCGCCACCUACACCGAGCACCAGAGAACCUGGUUGGAGAACACUCAAUUGCAUGUUCCCUAAGAUGCUACCAGCUGGAUGGCCCAAUGUCUUGCUUCCUCUGGCCUGGUGGUGAACUCCAGCUCCACACUUGGAAUACAGAGACUGAUUUUUCACCCAGGAACACAACCCUGCAAGUUUUCCAUGAGGUCAUCUCCUUCCACAUCCUUUGGCACAUCAUCGUUUGACUUCCACUCCUUGACUUUGACACCAAAGGUAUGUUCACCAGUGUCUUCAGUUCACCCUACAAAAGUGCUCUGACCAUGAAGGCUAGUCUCCUGCUCUGCUGUAAGCUUUUAAGCCACUUAGGAGACUAUUUUUAUUCCACAUGUCUCUUUCCACAGGCAGCCACCAGGCAUGGGGAACAUAUUUACACCUGGAAGCAAUGGCUUGCAUUCAAUUGAGUUAAUAAGAGUUGGGACCCCCGGCUUGCUUCCAUACUGAUUUAGAGGUGGUUGCUUCUGCCCAAGACCCCAUGGCUGGAUGUGUCUAGGGCAAUGAGCUCGCUGGCAUCUGCUGCUGAGAUCCUGCAAAGCAGAGGGUUUACAGGUGGUCUUUGGAUUUAACCAAGAGGAAAAUGGAGUUGUGAUGUGAUGGAUUGAGCUUUGGUCUUGAGAUUCCUUUUGAGGCAAGUUAUUUUACUCUCUCCAUUUCCUCAUCUAUAAAGUGGGUGAAAUGGUAUCUACCUACUAGCGUGAUGAUGAAAAUAAAAU